GUUUGUACUUCAAAUGAACUGCUAGGUUUGUUUAUAAUUAGAAGAGGUAUUUAUAUAAUAGGUAAUUAAUGCAAAUCUUGCGGAUACCAAAAGAGUCCCAAAGGGACAUGAUAAAUGUAAACAAUAAAUCCU